UGUGGAAUUUGUGUUAUUGGAUACAGAUUGUUCUUGGCUGAGCUUCAUCUUGCAACCACCCUACUGCCGGCAGCGGUGCAUAUAGACGGUGUUUACACCAUUGGUGGCCGCUGGGCUUCGAGUAACAAUUGAUUGCAAGCCAAAAAAUGGACACUUAAAGACAAGAGGGGUAGGGAAACUCGAUGAAGAAGGAAAGUUCAAA